AGAGAGUGGCAGAGACAGUAGAGGAUGAGGACCUUAUUGGGAGAAAUCCUCCUCAUUACAACAGCCAAGAUCAGAUUUUGACCAAGGCUACAAAAGAUCCCCUUCCUCACCCAGAACACCCAGACCAGUUGGAAUCAUCGACUGAGAAAGACAGGAACUCACCUGAAAAUACCAGCUCUUCCAUCUGCAAAGAGGAUGACAUUGAUGGGAGCCCUACUCUUGAUACAGAAAUGGCACAGGCCAACACAUCCCUGGGGCUCUAUGAAAUGAACUCUACUGCAGGUCCAUCUGGCCACAAAAAAGAAGACGCUGCCUUAGAGAGUUGUGUGUCUGCUACUGAUACACCAGAGGAGCCAAAGACGGAGCCAAAGCCAACCACUCCACACUCAAGGGCUUCUUCGUCAUCUACAUCCUCCGCAUCUCAAAGUUCUCCGACAAGCGGGGGUAUCCAGGGAAACCGUUCAAGUAUUUGAUCAGGCUCGAUUGAAUAGGUGAAUUUAAAACAGGGGCGCAAGUUUGGUUUUAGAAGUGGGGGAGGGGACAAAUUAUUAUUAUUUCCUUUAUCCAGUCUGAUAAACACUCCAAACAGCCGACCCGACCGCUCGGAGGCAUCCGCAUGGUCCUAAAGCACACCGCUGCCAGUGAAAAUUGCGCCCCUGGAUUUAAAUGAUCAUCCUAGAGUGGUUUAAAGACAUGCUCUGGUACUUUGACCCCAAAUAAGCAUUUUUUUAAACCUCCAACUUUGGUCUGGAUGUGUCAAUUUUAGUUCAUACAUGAAUAAUCUAUGAGCAGAAUUACUCUCAAUGUGCCACAAAAUCCCUAGUUUGAAAGCGACAGUUUUCUGGAAGCUGUGCAGCACCGUUUUACCUACAUUUACCCCCGUGUGGGCCAGCACCCUAGCAAUUAGAGUUUCAACCAAUGAGCUUCAGCCCAAAACCAUUUGAGUGACAGCUAGCACGACGCAUACACACACAGCGUGCACAUAUCUUCAGGUGACGUAGUACGACAUUUUCGGGGACCACUUUUUGGCUCGUGGGCGCAACUUUCAGAACUACUGGCUAAAAAGUAUACAAAAGCACCAGAGAAUCUCCUUAAAAGAAAAUAUAUUUUGGCCCGGUCUGAUUGUUUUUCUCUUUUAAGGGAAUCCUCAUACCCUCCACCAGACACCGUAAUGGAGCAGUCCUCAUACCCUCCACCAGACACAGUAAUGAAGCAGUCCUCAUACCCUCCACCAGACACCGUAAUGAAGCAGUCCUCAUAACCUCCACCAGACACCGUAAUGAAGCAGUCCUCAUACCCUCCACCAGACACCGUAAUGAAGCAGUCCCUCCACCAGACACCGUAAUGAAGCAGUCCCUCCACCAGACACCGUAAUGAAGCAGUCCCUCCACCAGACACUGUAAUGAAGCAGUCCUCAUACCCUCCACCAGACACCGUAAUGAAGCAGUCCUCAUACCCUCCACCAGACACCGUAAUGAAGCAGUCCAGUCCCUCCACCAGACACCGUAAUGAAGCAGUCCUCAUACCUUCCACCAGACACCGUAAUGAAGCAGUCCAGUCCCUCCACCAGACACCGUAAUGAAGCAGUCCCAGUCCUUCCACCAGACACCGUAAUGAAGCAGUCCAGUCCCUCCACCAGACACCGUAAUGAAGCAGUCCAGUCCCUCCACCAGACACCGUAAUGAAGCAGUCCGGUCCCUCCACCAGACACCGUAAUGAAGCAGUCCGGUCCCU